rnacentral:rRNA from 1 species
GACGAACGCUGGCGGCGUGCCUAAUACAUGCAAGUAGAACGCUGAGGUUUGGUGUUUACACUAGACUGAUGAGUUGCGAACGGGUGAGUAACGCGUAGGUAACCUGCCUCAUAGCGGGGGAUAACUAUUGGAAACGAUAGCUAAUACCGCAUAAGAGUAAUUAACACAUGUUAGUUAUUUAAAAGGAGCAAUUGCUUCACUGUGAGAUGGACCUGCGUUGUAUUAGCUAGUUGGUGAGGUAAAGGCUCACCAAGGCGACGAUACAUAGCCGACCUGAGAGGGUGAUCGGCCACACUGAGACUGAGACACGGCCCAGACUCCUACGGGAGGCAGCAGUAGGGAAUCUUCGGCAAUGGACGGAAGUCUGACCGAGCAACGCCGCGUGAGUGAAGAAGGUUUUCGGAUCGUAAAGCUCUGUUGUUAGAGAAGAACGUUGGUAGGAGUGGAAAAUCUACCAAGUGACGGUAACUAACCAGAAAGGGACGGCUAACUACGUGCCAGCAGCCGCGGUAAUACGUAGGUCCCGAGCGUUGUCCGGAUUUAUUGGGCGUAAAGCGAGCGCAGGCGGUUCUUUAAGUCUGAAGUUAAAGGCAGUGGCUUAACCAUUGUACGCUUUGGAAACUGGAGGACUUGAGUGCAGAAGGGGAGAGUGGAAUUCCAUGUGUAGCGGUGAAAUGCGUAGAUAUAUGGAGGAACACCGGUGGCGAAAGCGGCUCUCUGGUCUGUAACUGACGCUGAGGCUCGAAAGCGUGGGGAGCAAACAGG